AAGGAAGAUCUGGGGGCGGGAGUGAUCUGCGGGCACAGAGGUGGAUGCGGCCCAUCCCUGUCCUCUCAGGAACCUCAUGAAGGAAAUGAGAAACAUGUGCCUGCAAUCCUACAGCGCCUGCCUCUGCUGGGAGGGAAAUAGUUUCUCUAUCAACUUAGGUCCAUUGAUCAGGGGCCUGGGAAUUGACUGACAAUAGGCAGAUUAACAGGAAAAAGGCAAGAUUUAUUUCACAUGUGUGUGGCAGUACUCUCUAAGAGUUGCUCUCCAAACAGCCAGGAGUUUAUAUACCAGCCCAACUGGGUGGAGAGCUUAGGGCUUCAGCAGGAAAGUAUGGGAAGUGCUGACAAGGCUCGUGUCGUCCACUGAGUGUUUGUGUCCCCCCGUAUUCAUAUCCUGAAGCCUUAGUCCCCAGGGUGAUGGUAUUUGGAGAGAAGGCCUUUGGGAGGUCAACAGGGUUAGAAGAGGUCACGAGGAUGGGGCCCUCAUGAUGGAUUAGUGCCCUUGGAAGGAGAGACACCAGAGAGCUUGCUCUCUCUCUGCCGCGUGGAGACACAUUGAGAAGGCAGCCGUCUGCAAGCCAGGAAGAGAGCUCGCACCGGAACCCGCCCAGACUGGCACCUUGAUCUUGGGCUUCCAGUCUUCAGAACUGUGAGAAAAUCGACCUCUGUCGUCUAAGCCCCCAGGGCACUGAGAAGUCAGGUGGCCCGAGAGGAAGCCGAUGUCUUGGAGGGUACAGUGGAGAAAUGGAGGGCAGCGGAAAGUUCUUUGCACAAAUCAUUGAGUUUUCAAUACAUCUAGACCAUAUUUCUGUAGACAAGGUGAUGGGCGCUGUAUCGGUCACUCAUGGCCACAGUAGAGUUGCGCAGAAACAACCACACGACCUCCAUGGGAUACACAGGAGCAUCCAUUCUGGUCUCAUUUAUCCUCUGCAAGUUGGCUGGGGCCCAGCUGAGCCCGGAACCAGGCUGCGGCUGGAAUCAGGUCUGUUCCAUGAGUUUUGCAUCCUCCUCAGAGCAGUAAGCCACCAGGUACAUUCUUUCCUGGGGGUGGCACGGGCCUGGGGGUGGGCUGGUCACGCGGGCUCAUUUCAAGCCUGUGCUCGCUUUGCAUUUGCUCAUAUCCUACUGGCCAAAGCCGAGUCAAUGGGCAAGCCUGAAAUCAAGGGGUGGGGCGGGACCCUCUGCCCACCUCGAAGCCAUGGCAAAGGUGUGGAUGUGUCACACUGCCACAGGGACAUGAAGGACCAAGGCUGAAGCUCAGCCGGCCCCACCAGCCAAUUUUCCCAGCAUCGUCUUGAAUAAGCCACUCUUGUUCUUUAAAUUAUGAGCCUGUGGAAGCAAGGCGAAGGAGCAACUCUCCGAUGCUCGUGGAACCCUGUUAUCAGAGACCCGGCAGGCUGGAUAGGGACAGCCGAAGCGGAGUGACUCAGCUGCUGGAGCUCUGGGCCCUACUGGGCAAUUCUCCAUCCAAACAGGAGGGAAGACAGCAGCUCUGGGGCACCGUGCUCCUGGGUCCUUCGGGCAGUAACAGGUCAUCCCAGGCCACCGAUCGGCUGGGUGUGAUUGCAUGGGAUGUGUGUGCACGGGCACACAGACACGCAUGCGCAAUUAUGUAGACAUGAGACUACGACCCUCUCCAAGGCUGGUAAUGAUGAGAUGAGGAACAAAGGCAGCCAAGCUUUUUGCACGCUCCUUAAGCUCUAGGUGCUGUGUGAGCUCGAACAUGGGGAGGAGUCGUGGGGGAGGCCGAGCAUUGAUUACUUUCCACGAAGAGGCCAUCGUCCUAACCUUUUCCUUCUCUGUAUGAUGAUCAGCUGCUCCUCUCCUCUCCGCUCUGCCAUUUAAUAAGGACAGGAUAGGCAAGAGAAGAUGCUGUAAGAUCCAAUUAACUCAGGCUUCAAAAGGCCCGGUCUCCAUGUGGUGCCAGCUCCCGCCGCCCCCAACAACAGGCAGGCCUGGCUGCAGCUUCCUGGAGGCAGGGGUGCUGGGGGGAGGGCUGCUGUGAGCAUCCAGAUUCCCCAGGCAAAAAGGCCUGAGGUCAAGGUUUCUCCCUCCUCCUCUUGGCAGUCCAGGGGAGUGGGAAGGGAUGGGGGUGUGCAGUGUGUUGUAUGGGGCCUCAGGAUGCCCAGCCUCCCACGCCCCCGCUGAGUGCCCACCCCUCCCCUCCUCUCUGUUUCGACCAAACUGUCUUCUCUCUGUAAGUCACCACAUGUACCCCCGGCCUCAGAGGGAGGCAGCUCUGAGAUUUGCAGAAUCGGUCCCAGGCCCUGUGCUGGCAGCCAAAUCCCGUCUUGGGUGAGGUGGGAGGAGGGUGCUUAGCUGCAGGCAGAUGUUUCUGUUCUCGAGUGGAGACGGGGGACGUGGGGGCUCAGUGUGUGCAGAUGGGUGGGAACGGAGAGGGAGCCCGGGGGCUGUGAGCGGGAUUGGGGCAGAUGGUGUGAGUCGAAUGCAAUUUUGGAGGCAGACAAUUUUGAUGAAGCACGGCAUAAACCUUCCGCGGUGCAUGAGCGUUUCUGGUGUUUUCUGAUGCCUCCCACCCGUCCAGGCUGUCCCUCCCCGCCUUCAGCAAUGGUUCCUUCUGGAACCCAAGCCCUGCUUCAGCCCGGCCUGCGUGCCCCUCCUCACACCCAGGUCUCAUGGUUCCUAGAUCUCCUCCACCUCUCAGAGCUUCCUCUACCCCUGCCACCCUCCUCUGGGGUGGCUUCCCUUUGGAGCUCCCCCAUCGUCAUCAGAAUGUUCCCACCUCAACCAUCUUCCCGUGAACUCCCCUCACUCCUUCUGCUGACUUCUCCUCUCCGCCUGUGGAAGUUUAAAACACGCCCACAGGUUCUUUGACACUCCAGCCACCGGGAGGAUGGGGCUGAUCUCCUUUUAAAUCUGGGAUGCUUGUGACUGUUUUCCCCAGUAGAGGAUGGCAGAAGGAACACUAGGUCAGAAAAAGCCAAACAAUUUCUGCAUGGGUCCCUUGGGACCCUCGCCUUUGGAGCCCUGAACCACCAUCUAAGAAGUUCUACUACCAGGAUGCGAGAAAGCUCGGGUCACAUGGGGAGGCAGGGUGCUGUGCUCCUGUGGAGCCCGGCUGAGGGCCCUGCUGACAGUCAGCAUCACCCACCAGACUGGUGAGGAAUAACCUCCAGGUGACUCCGACUCCAGCAGGUGAGUGUCCCCGGCCAUUGAGUGUGCCCAACUGAAGCACCACAUCACAGAGCAGAGGCAAGCCAUGCCUGCCGUGCCCUGUGCAACUGCCCGUAGAAUCUCUGAGCAUGAUAAGGUGGUUGACUUCAGCUGCUAAGUUUUGCAAUGGUUUGUCAUGCAGCGAUAGCAAGUGGGACGGUUAGUAACUGCCGUUCUUACUGAAUCACGUCCUUCAUCUCUGCGUCUCUCCAAGGCUGGCACAGAGAUAACCUUUAGUGUCUUGGACCAUUCCCUGUGGUUGUAGGGUACAGGAGAGGGUGGAAGGGCAGGUUGGAGAGGGGGCUUGUCCUGGACACUCUUCCCAAGGUCCUGAUUAUCAGGGAAGUUCAGGGACAAUGUUGCUUCCCCAGUGGGCAGCAAGGACUCCUAUCGCUGCCUGUGCCCAGGACAUCCACGCUCACAGCGUAGGCUGGGGGAGCAUCGCUCUCUGCUGUCAGCAAGGAUUCCCAAGACUUCAGAAAGUUGUCCAAGUGGCCCUGAUGACAGCUAUGGCCAGAGGAGGAAGCUGGCUCUGCCAAAAGCUUGAAUUCCUUGUUCCAGGUGAGGACGUAUUCGUUCUCUCUGGACCAAAAUAGAGAGAUGCCCAUCCGGAUGCUCUCUUGUCCCAGCCAGGCACACCUCUCUUGUGGUGCUCCGAAGCUUCCCUGGCUCUUGCUUGACAAGGGAGAGAGGGAAAAGGUUCUCUUCUCCUUUUUCCAGCCAGCCAUCCAUUUCUUCUCUCAUUUGGGUUCAUUAUCCAGUAAUGAAAACCAGUUCAUUCUCAAUCCGCGACCGUGUCCUCUAAAUAAUAGUGGCUGGAGAAGUCUCCAGUCUCACUCUCUACCCAACUCGCUCAUUUUACUUCUCAGUCCCAGCUCAUUAGCCCCAACAAUAAUUCUGAGUCCAUCUCUCCCUUGCUUCUCCCUCCCACCCUGCCCGGGCCCUGCUCCCAGGGGAGAGGGCUAGUGAGGAGAGCUUGGCCAGGAACCCCAGUCAGCCCUGUUGUCAGUAGCACAAAGUGGGGCCAAGCUGUUCAUUUAUUCAUUCAUGCAUUCAUCCAUUCAUUCAACAAAUAUUUAUUGAAUGCUUAGAGCAGGCCAGUACAGUUCUAGUGGCUGGGGCCAAGCAAGACCUUGGAAAGUCAGAUGACAAAAUAAGACAAAAGAAAAGCCAUAAAAGAAAUAGAGCCACCUCUUCUAAUACAGAGGAAAGUUGGGGAUGGGUGCAAAGACCAGUUACUAGGUUCCUGUAACGUGUGUAAUCUGUAAUCCUUGUUACAAGACAGAUAUCACCAGCCCAUCACCCUUUUCUUUUUUUUCCAAUUGAUUUUGGAAAAGGAUCAGGGUUUGGGGUAAAAUGCAGUUUGUAGGUGAGUGUAAAGGUACAUACCCAGCACAUGUAUUUCCCCCAGCCUCUCACUGUCUUAGUUAUCUCAUGCUGCUUACCAAAUUACCCCCAAAUGCAGUGGCUUAAAACAACAAGCGUUUAUUAUCUCACAGUUUAUUCUGUGAGUCGGGAAUCCAGGAGCAGCUCGACUAGACGGUGGUGGCUCAGGGUCUUUCUGAGGUUGUGGUCGAGAUGUCGAGAUGUCAGCUGGUGCUGUGGUCAUCUGAAGCCUGCCUGAGGCUCCGCAUCCAGGACCGUUCACUCCAGUGGUGGUUGUUGGAGGCCUCAGGUCCUUGCUGGCUGCUUGUAGGAAGCCUCGGUUCCUCUCCACGGGGGCCUCUCCAUGGAGCUGCUCACGACAUGGCAACCGGCCUCCCCAAUCCACUGUUUCUCAUAACCUAAUCUCAGAAGUGACAUACCAUCACUUCUACCACAUUCUCUUGGUCACAGAGACCAUUUCUGGAACAACGUGGGAGGAGACUACACUCAGAUGUGAAUACGAGGACGGGGGUCAGUGGGGUCAUCCUGCAGGCUGGCUACCACAGUCACCUUUUCCUACUUCAAACCUCAUCUAAUACUUCAUCCUUGGUCUAUUCAUUCAGUAAAUAUUUACUGAGCAUGUGCUAUGUGUCGGCAGUGUUUCAGCCUCUAGCGAUUCAUCAGUGACCAAAACAGACCCAAACAACUGAUUGGGUCUGUGCUUAUCCGUAAGGCUGGAUAAAUGGCCACUUCAGCAUAAGGGGAUGCCUGGGGCCAGUCUCGGAAUGUGCGCCUGACUUUGCGUGCGCAUGUGCAUGUGUGUGGCCUCUUUCAAGAGUGUGGAAUAUUCUCCUUCCUCUUUCACAGUCAUGCCUCUGUAAUGCUUAAAUGUUCUGCUAUAGUUGAAAUCAUUUCUGGAGCUCCCUUUUGGAAUUACCUUGGAGAAGAAGCCCAGGAAGUUUCUUUCAAACAUUCGCGAAGGUAUCAAAGCUGCUGCUUUGGGGCCAGAAUUUUUUGUGGGGAGUGUCAGUGAAUCACUAUUUGGAACCUGUGUUGGUGCAAACUAACUUGGAAUUCUACCAAGAGUAAGCACCCCUACCUUCACACACACACACACACACCCGCAGACACACAGCUAAAGUUAUGGCUAUUAGGCUCUGACACUUUUCUCAUGGACUGACUCUAAAGUCAGUUUCAAAGGUAAAUUUCAAAAUAACACGUUUUGAAUAAUAGCUACAUCCCUGCAAUAAAGGUUCAGCCUCCCAGAGGGACAGUUUGAAUGAGAUGCCCUCAUUUUGAUGGAGGAGUUCUGGAAUGUUCUUUCCAAAAACUUUUGUCACUUCUUGCCUAAAGCUUAUGAUUUGCACUGUUGGAGAUUAUGAGUCUCUCUCUGGCUUUUCUGUCUUUCUUUCCUGUUUUUUCAGUGUUGCAUCUGGGUUUUCAUGGGUUUUGUCGGGAGGGAUGUUUUUCAUGUUAGGCGUAAGGACCAGCGGUCCACAGGUUGUCAUCACCACUUUCCUGGACGCAUUGGAAGCUCUGGCUCGGAUCUGCUUGGAGGCCAGCAGUCCUGGCUUUCCUUCUGGCCCCAGAAGGCAGGUGUCCUUGAUGGCCCUCUCACCACUAUCUUUUUGGGAGAAGACGGCGGAAACACACAGAUGUGUCUGACUCUGUCUUCGGCACCUUGCCAGCACCCUCUCCCCUCCUCCUUUUUUCUAUCACGUCACUGAAGGGCGUUUUCAUAGUUUGGUAAACAAUCGUUGCAUUUGAUCUGCGUUCAGUCCGCCCCCUCUUCCUGCCAGUACAAAUAAUUGGGCAACAUGAACACUGUCAUCGGUGAUCGCUUGCAAGCUCCCUUCCGUCAAGUGUGCGUUAGUUAUUUUUUCAAAAAAGGGAAAGAAACUCUGGAAGAUAUCAGAGUGGGUUAUGUUUCUUUCUUCUGUCUGUAGAAUUUCGGGAGAUUUGAUAAAAAGUUCUGACAGCUGGCAAGCCAAGACUGCUUUUAAGUGAGGGCUAAUAAAUAUCCUCUCAGAUCAAGAGCGAAUUCAGGGCCGGUGUCUAAGGAAAGGGCUGCCCCCUCCCCAUGUGUGGUUCUCGUGCCACGUGCAAAGCGGAGCUCAGCUGAGCACACUGGAGCGGCGUUGAAACAGAUCCAAUACUUCACCAUCUGGCCCUGAUUGUAAACAUGUGUACACAAAGUGAGUGUCACUUCAGCUAAUUCACGAGGGCCAGGCUGCUCUGGUGGCGGCUGCAGCUGUCCCCGGGGUAGGGGGCAGAGUGGCGGCCCCCGAGGACAGCAGGACAUACAGUUGGGCGGCCUUUCUUCCCUCGGGGUCUGUGGACCGGCCAGAGGGAGGCUAGACAGCCAGGCUUCAGAGGCUGGCCUGGGCACCACGUGUCUUCAUUUCCUUAGGGCUGAUGGUGGCCUUCCAUCUAGCUUUCUGGCCAUAUUGCUCUGUAUUUAAUCCUUUUCCUUUCGGAUUGUAAAUAUCCUCAAGGCAGGCUGUGCUGCUCUCCUGCUUCUCCCGGUUGAGGGACUUGCACUUGAGAUGUUAUCAUUGAAUUAAGAUAAAUCCCUAGCAAUAACUUCUUCUUUGUGUCUAUUUGAAGCCUUCCUGCUCUUCCUUGCAUAGAUUUCCGCUAUUUCCGCCUUUGCUGGGCAGAGCGAAGGGCUGAAUCCUCAUCCCUCCGGGUGGAGGAGGCUCUGAAUGAGUUCUCUUGUCUCUUGAGCAAAGAGCAGCGAGAUCUCGGGUAAGUUCUCAUAAUGUCCCCGGGCCUCACUUUCAUCAUCUUUCAAAGGAGAUCAUUAUCCCCACGCCUUUCCAUAGGCCCUCCCUGGCCUCCCAGCCCCAGCUGCCCCCCCGUGGAGAUGGGAGCGAUGGUACAGAGAAGUAAGUGCGGUGCAGUGCCGGGCCCAAUUAAGAGUGAUGGCCAUCAUGGCGGACGCACUCGAAAGUCACCACGGGCCAGUCUCCUCUGCAGCUCAGGCUUGUUCUUCCUGCACCCCCUGCAGCCUUUCUUGGAAGGUUUUGAUGAGCUCUCACCGCGUAGGUGUAGUCAUGGCUUUGUUCCAGGAAACAAAGACUUGCUCCGAGGAGGAAGCUGCCCAAGAGGCCAGGUCCGCAGGGGUGGGCGGGCAGCUGCUCUCCCUCGUCCGGGGGCAUUCAAUCUGGUUCAGAAGGGCGGUUCCUCUGCCCUGCUCACCACCCCCCAACUUUGCCCAAAUGAGCGAGUGACACUUCUCCUGGAGUCCCCCCUCCCAUGCUCCUCAAAAACACAACAGAUUAAAUUUUCCACACAUGUGGGGGAAAAAAGUAUACUUUUUCCAAAUAGCCCCAGGGACACGAAAUGGAGAAAGCUAAUUAUCUCUUGUAUUUUCUUCCAGUGGGGCGAGCUCAGCAGUGGGGACACGAGAGCAGAAAUCGGCAGGGCCAGGAGCAGCCCUAAGACAGCGCCAUAGGGUGCAGGGAGGCUGCACCGUGGGCACUUUGGGAAAUGGGGGGCAAGGGGCGGCCACGGGGAGCCUGUGCUUCCCGUCCCCAGAGCUGGCAUCCUGAGCAUGUUGGCAGGCCCCCACUGUCACCAGGGUGUCCUACAGGUGCGGCUCUGCCGAGGUCAAUUCCACAACAGCACUGCCCCCGGUGAGCUCAUGCCACAGGAGGCCACUGAAAUGUGGCUGCUCCGGAGACAAGGCCCUUCCUUCUUCCCAGGGCCCAACCUGCAGGGCAGGCAAGAGGUGAGGGCAGUGGGGAGAGGCUCCAAGGGGACAAAGUCGUGAUUCCCGGAGAAAGGGGCGAGUGUAGGGGAUCUGGCAACCCAACAACCCACCCUGGAGAAUCAAAAUGAG